AUUAUAUGAUGCAUGUAUGAUUUGGGAAGGUACCCUGUGACGUGAUUAUGUGUGACGCGUUGAGAAAUAUUAUGGCAUGUUUUUCCCUUAUGUUGAUGAAUGUUGGGAUGAGUAAAUUAAGGGAAUAAUAAAAGGAACGAUAAGACAUGCAUGAUAAUAUAAUUUGAUGGAAGGAUAAUGGUGUUGUCGUUGGCAAGGGUGAUUGUGGAUACGUGAGCUCGAGGAACAAGAGUUUCUAUAAGUUGGGUUUUGUGUUGUUUAACCAAUCGAGGUUGAGCGGAAUGUUGCGGAGGAUGUUGAGUUGGCGCCACGCUCAGUCACCCUAUCCGCAACCAUUUCCUCCCUAAAUUGGUGUAUAAAUGAAAGGGGAAUGUCUUCAUCAAAGACAUCAUCGAAGUCGUUCUCUGUCCACUUUGGUUCAAAUAAGACAAGCGUGCAUGUAUUAGUCCUGAUGUAAAUUGAAUGUCUAAUAACACAACGUAUCAAUGCAGAAUAAGGAUUGUACAGAUCAAAAUAAUCGUCGUAAUAUGAUGCUAAAAAUUAGAAGACUUGAUGUACAAAUAAGACUGAAUAAUGUAUCAAUACAUUGUAAUGAAUGUACACAUUAAAUCCUUACAUAGGUACAUCACAUGCUAAUACGCAUGUACGUUAGUUGUCA